rnacentral:rRNA from 1 species
GCCGUGUGGGUGAUGAAGCUUCUAGGAGUGUAAAACCCUUUUAUGAGGGAAGAACGAAAUGCGGUUAAUAUCUGUAUUUCGUGACGGUACCUCAUGAAUAAGCCCCGGAUAACUCCGUGCCAGCAGCCGCGGUAACACGGAGGGGGCACAGCGUUGUGCGGAAUUACUGGGCGUAAAGGGCGUGUAGGCGGACUAGCAGGUCAGAUGUGAAAUCCCCGGGCUCAACUCGGGAACUGCGUUUGACAACCGUUAGGCUUGAGUGCUAGGAGAGGAAAGCGGAAACUCCUGGUGUAGCGGUGAAAUGCGUAGAUAUCAGGAGGAACACCGGUGGCGAAAGCGGCUUUCUGGACUAGUUCUGACGCUGAGGCGCGAAAGCGUGGGGAGCGAACGGGAUUAGAUACCCCGGUAGUCCACGCUGUAAACGAUGAGCACUAGGUGUAGCGGGUACCGACCCCUGCUGUGCCGCAGCUAACGCAAUAAGUGCUCCGCCUGGGGAUUACGCACGCAAGUGUGAAACUCAAAGGAAUUGACGGGGCCCCGCACAAGCGGUGGAGUAUGUGGUUUAAUUCGAUGCAACGCGAAGAACCUUACCAGGGCUUGACAUGUUGGUGGUAGGAAGCCGAAAGGUAACCGACCCUUCGGGGAGCCUUCACAGGUGCUGCAUGGCUGUCGUCAGCUCGUGUCGUGAGAUGUUGGGUUAAGUCCCGCAACGAGCGCAACCCCUACCCUUAGUUGCCAUCAGUUCGGCUGGGAACUCUAGGGGAACUGCCGGUGACAAACCGGAGGAAGGUGGGGAUGACGUCAAGUCCUCAUGGCCCUUAUGUCCUGGGCUACACACGUACUACAAUGGUCGGUACAAUGAGUCGCAAUACCGCGAGGUGGAGCCAAUCUCAAAAAACCGGCCUCAAUUCAGAUUGGAGUCUGCAACUCGACUCCAUGAAGUUGGAAUCGCUAGUAAUCGCGGAUCAGCAUGCCGCGGUGAAUUCGUUCCCGGGGCUUGUACACACCGCCCGUCACACCACGAAAGUUGGUUGCACUAGAAGUCGCC